rnacentral:rRNA from 1 species
GCAUAUCAAUAAGCGGAGGAAAAGAAACCAACAGGGAUUGCCUCAGUAACGGCGAGUGAAGCGGCAACAGCUCAAAUUUGAAAUCUGGCUCUUUCAGGGUCCGAGUUGUAAUUUGCAGAGGAUGCUUCGGCUUCGACCUUGGUCUAAGUUCCUUGGAACAGGACGUCACAGAGGGUGAGAAUCCCGUACGUGGCCGUGGUCUUCGCCAUGUGAAGCUCCUUCGACGAGUCGAGUUGUUUGGGAAUGCAGCUCUAAAUGGGAGGUAAAUUUCUUCUAAAGCUAAAUAUUGGCCAGAGACCGAUAGCGCACAAGUAGAGUGAUCGAAAGAUGAAAAGCACUUUGGAAAGAGAGUUAAAAAGUACGUGAAAUUGUUGAAAGGGAAGCGCUUGCACCCAGACUUGCCCGCGGUUGCUCAGCCGGUCUUUUGGCCGGUGCACUCUUCCGCGGUCAGGCCAGCAUCAGUUCGGGCGGUCGGAUAAAGGCCUUGGGAAUGUAGCUCCCUUCGGGGAGUGUUAUAGCCCUCGGUGUAAUGCGGCCCGCCUGGACUGAGGUCCGCGCUUCGGCUAGGAUGCUGGCGUAAUGGUUGUAAGCGGCCCGUCUUGAAACACGGACCAAGGAGUCUAACAUCUAUGCGAGUGUUUGGGUGUCAAACCCGUGCGCGAAAUGAAAGUGAACGGAGGUGGGAACCUUAGGGUGCACCAUCGACCGAUCCUGAUGUCUUCGGAUGGAUUUGAGUAAGAGCAUAGCUGUUGGGACCCGAAAGAUGGUGAACUAUGCCUGAAUAGGGUGAAGCCAGAGGAAACUCUGGUGGAGGCUCGCAGCGGUUCUGACGUGCAAAUCGAUCGUCAAAUUUGGGUAUAGGGGCGAAAGACUAAUCGAACCAUCUAGUAGCUGGUUCCUGCCGA